rnacentral:tRNA from 1 species
GCCCCUUUAGCUCAACGGCAGAGCAGCCGGCUUUUAACCGGUUGAUGGAGGUUCGACUCCUCCAGGGGGCA